rnacentral:rRNA from 1 species
AUAUUGCACAAUGGAGGGAACUCUGAUGCAGCAACGCCGCGUGAGGGAAGAAGGAUUUCGGAUCGUAAAACUCUGUCAUUGGGGAAGAAUACAUGACGGUACCCAAUGAGGAAGCCCAGGCUCACUACGCGCCAACAGCAGCGGUAAUACGUAGGGGGAGAGCGUUGUCCGGAAUUACUGGGCGUAAAGGGUACGUAGGCGGCUAUAUAAGUCAGGUGUGAAAUACCAGUGCUUAACACUGGAAGUGCAUUUGAAACUGUGUAGCUUGAGUGCAGGAGAGGAAAGUGGAAUUCCUAGUGUAGCGGUGAAAUGCGUAGAGAUUAGGAGGAACACCAGUGGCGAAGGCGACUUUCUGGACUGUAACUGACGCUGAGGUACGAAAGCGUGGGUAGCGAACA